rnacentral:rRNA from 1 species
GACGAACGCUGGCGGCGUGCUUAACACAUGCAAGUCGAACGGAAAGGCCCUGCUUUUGUGGGGUGCUCGAGUGGCGAACGGGUGAGUAACACGUGAGUAACCUGCCCUUGACUUUGGGAUAACUUCAGGAAACUGGGGCUAAUACCGGAUAGGAGCUCCUGCUGCAUGGUGGGGGUUGGAAAGUUUCGGCGGUUGGGGAUGGACUCGCGGCUUAUCAGCUUGUUGGCGGGGUGGUGGCUUACCAAGGCUUUGACGGGUAGCCGGCCUGAGAGGGUGACCGGCCACAUUGGGACUGAGAUACGGCCCAGACUCCUACGGGAGGCAGCAGUGGGGAAUAUUGCACAAUGGGCGGAAGCCUGAUGCAGCAACGCCGCGUGCGGGAUGACGGCCUUCGGGUUGUAAACCGCUUUCGCCUGUGACGAAGCGUGAGUGACGGUAAUGGGUAAAGAAGCACCGGCUAACUACGUG